rnacentral:rRNA from 1 species
GACGAACUUUGGCGGCGUGCUUAACACAUGCAAGUCGAACGGAAAGGCCCUGCUUUUGUGGGGUGCUCGAGUGGCGAACGGGUGAGUAACACGUGAGUAACCUGCCCUUGACUUUGGGAUAACUUCAGGAAACUGGGGCUAAUACCGGAUAGGAGCUCCUGCUGCAUGGUGGGGGUUGGAAAGUUUCGGCGGUUGGGGAUGGACUCGCGGCUUAUCAGCUUGUUGGUGGGGUAGUGGCUUACCAAGGCUUUGACGGGUAGCCGGCCUGAGAGGGUGACCGGCCACAUUGGGACUGAGAUACGGCCCAGACUCCUACGGGAGGCAGCAGUGGGGAAUAUUGCACAAUGGGCGGAAGCCUGAUGCAGCAACGCCGCGUGCGGGAUGACGGCCUUCGGGUUGUAAACCGCUUUCGCCUGUGACGAAGCGUGAGUGACGGUAAUGGGUAAAGAAGCACCGGCUAACUACGUGCCAGCAGCCGCGGUGAUACGUAGGGUGCGAGCGUUGUCCGGAUUUAUUGGGCGUAAAGGGCUCGUAGGUGGUUGAUCGCGUCGGAAGUGUAAUCUUGGGGCUUAACCCUGAGCGUGCUUUCGAUACGGGUUGACUUGAGGAAGGUAGGGGAGAAUGGAAUUCCUGGUGGAGCGGUGGAAUGCGCAGAUAUCAGGAGGAACACCAGUGGCGAAGGCGGUUCUCUGGGCCUUUCCUGACGCUGAGGAGCGAAAGCGUGGGGAGCGAACAGGCUUAGAUACCCUGGUAGUCCACGCUGUAAACGGUGGGUACUAGGUGUGGGGUCCAUUCCACGGGUUCCGUGCCGUAGCUAACGCUUUAAGUACCCCGCCUGGGGAGUACGGCCGCAAGGCUAAAACUCAAAGGAAUUGACGGGGCCCCGCACAAGCGGCGGAGCAUGCGGAUUAAUUCGAUGCAACGCGUAGAACCUUACCUGGGUUUGACAUGGGUCGGGAGUGCUCAGAGAUGGGUGUGCCUCUUUUGGGGUCGGUUCACAGGUGGUGCAUGGCUGUCGUCAGCUCGUGUCGUGAGAUGUUGGGUUAAGUCCCGCAACGAGCGCAACCCUUGUUCACUGUUGCCAGCACGUUAUGGUGGGGACUCAGUGGAGACCGCCGGGGUCAACUCGGAGGAAGGUGGGGAUGACGUCAAGUCAUCAUGCCCCUUAUGUCCAGGGCUUCACGCAUGCUACAAUGGCUGGUACAGAGAGUGGCGAGCCUGUGAGGGUGAGCGAAUCUCGGAAAGCCGGUCUCAGUUCGGAUUGGGGUCUGCAACUCGACCUCAUGAAGUCGGAGUCGCUAGUAAUCGCAGAUCAGCAACGCUGCGGUGAAUACGUUCCCGGGGCU